rnacentral:lncRNA from 1 species
UUUCGCCAGACUCGUGACAGCGCCGAGGCUAUUAUUCAUGGACUACCCAGUCUUACAGCUUACCAGUUGAAAACUGUAUAUAUAUGUCAGUUUUUGACAAGAGUUGCAGCAGGAAAGUCUCUUGAUGCACAGUUUGAAGUUGAUGAGCGGAUUACACCCUUGGAAUCAGCCCUGAUGAUUUGGGACUCAAUUGAAAAAGAACAUGACAAACUUCAUGAAGAAAUACAGAAUUUAAUUAAAAUUCAGCCUUUAGAAAGAAAAUUACUUAAGAUAAUCUCUCAAAAAGACGUCUUCCACGUCCUUUUUCAACGCUUCAGUUAUAACCUCAUGAUGGAGAAAAUUCAGAGUUAUGUGGAGU